GACGUAGGAGGCGAGCGUUGUCCGGAUUCAUUGGGCGUAAAGAGCGCGCAGGCGGCUUGGUAAGUCGGAUGUGAAAACCCGAGGCUCAACCUCGGGCGUGCAUCCGAAACUGCUCGGCUAGAGGUAGGUAGGGGAGAUCGGAAUUCCUGGUGUAGCGGUGAAAUGCGCAGAUAUCAGGAGGAACACCGGUGGCGAAGGCGGAUCUCUGGGCCUUACCUGACGCUCAGGCGCGAAAGCUAGGGGAGCAAACGGG
rnacentral:rRNA from 1 species